ensembl:lncRNA
UGGAUUCACAAUAACUGGUUUAUUUAUGCUAGCUAUGAUCACACUAAGUAAAUGGAUAUCAGACAAGUAUCAUACUCAAAGACACUCUUGAGCAUGCAUACGGUCACAAAAAUGGAAACAAUCUAGCAUCCUUCUUCUUAUGUGUAUAUUCAUACAUUUCACUGACCAAGAAAUCUUGUUAAAUCCACUAAUUUAUAACAUUUUCUUUCUAAUAAUAUAACACAAAAUAUUUUAAAGCCUUGUCAAACACUCUAACCCAACAGAUUCUCAAAUUCCACUAUUUUUAUUCUGAAGAGUAUUACACCCAUUUCUUGUAUAUGUUUUUAUAUAUUUUUCUCCAUACAAAAAGAAGCUCACUUUUACAUUCUCUCACAUUUUUCUCUCUCCAGUUAAAACUAACACCUUUUUAUGUAUUAACUAAUCAUGUAAUCCAUACAUCUCCACCAUUUGUGUUAACUCUUUGUUGACAAAAAAGUUGAGUGUGAGAAUUGCAUAAAUUGGUAGGUCAAUAUACAGAAUUUUUAUGGACAAUAUUGGAAAUUCUUGUGUGCAUUACAAGCAUCUUUACAUUACCUAUACAUUUUUAGCAUCAUCAUGGAUUUAUGACUUUUUUAGUAGACUCCACUGUUCCAAUUGACUGCAACUGUCGCUUGUUUUCUUUUUUUGAUGCUCAAUUUUCACUCUGCCCAGUGAGAGGCUCUUCGGGUGGGCCUCUUUUUCAAUGCUCAAUAUGUCACUCUGCCUGCUGAGAGACUUCUUCAGGCCUCUUUGCCCUUUGUACCCCAAGUCAGCAUUCUCACCUUCUAUAAAUGGCAAGAUGUUCCAGGCUCAUCUUGCUUUCUCCUGCCCCAAGAUUUGGUGCCAGCUACCCUCCAAGGAGCCCUGGUUCCUUUUAAUGGAGAAUAGUUUAAGGAGCCAAAAUCUGGGCGCUAGAGUACAGCACAGAUUUUUCCACAAUGCUACCUGUAACGGGUAAGGCAACUUCAGAGACCAUUUAGGCUACUGCAGUGACAGAGCAGGAGACUUCCAGGGCAAGAGCACAUAUUCCCAAAUUACUUUUUCCAAAUCUCUUUUCACCAGUCGUGAUUGCCAUAUCACGCUAUAUCUUGCCAUACCCAAGUCAUGCAUUCAGAGUUCACUGUUGAUGAAUGAUUAGAGCCUUCCAUUUCCAUUUUCAUUCUUCUGGCUCUUCAUCCACGGAUCCUGGAAUCUGCUCCAAAUUGUAAAGGUCCAAAUGCUUCUCUCUGCCAGAAUAAUCUAUACUAUUUUUACUAGAAAAAGAAAAUUAAAUGCCAGUCUCCCCCCGGGUAGCAUUGUCAAAUUUAGCAAAUAAAAAUACAUGCGAUAUUUGGUACAUACUUAUACUAAAGCAAAAUCUGUUGUUUAUCUGAAAUUCAAAUUUAGCUGAACAUCCUGUAUUUUUUCUAGAAAUCCUACCUGCAAGGAAAGACUAGGGAAUCUAAAAACAUAGGUUAUCUAGUAUCACAGAUGAAGUCUUCCAACACUAAUAUAUACGAAUUGAAAGGAAAAUAUGAAAACUACUGGCUUUCAAGGCUCUUUCAAAAAUCUUUCUAAUUUUCAUUUUCAUGGGUCAAAUGCAGACCUAUACUUCUUUAUUUAAGUCCCUAAUUUUGAACACAGUCUUUUUUCCCAUCAUAACUGUUUUAUCAGUGCUAUUCUAGUCUAAUUGUUGCCCCCACAUACAAUUUCGAGUAGUGAACAUUAAUGUUUCAGUGGCUCUUACAUAUACACAGAUUUGAUCCAUUACCAGAGUGUUUCAUUAUCUUAAAAUCCCUCAAACCAAGCCAAAAGAUCAGAAAACACAAUGACAUUCAUAUCAAGAAUAAGUAGAAACAAUGUUUUUACUAUUACAAUUUUUAAACUUUCCAAGCAGUAAAUUCACGUAGAUUAAUUUCUAUAGGCUGUUAUGAAUUUUCACAACAUUGAUGGCUUAAAACACACAAAUUGGAUUACAGAAUAUUCUAAUUAUUAUUACAUAUUCACUUUACAUUAAGUGCUCCCUAAAAACAACAAUCGGAGAUAUUUUUAUGUAUUGCAAAAGGUUUUGUUCCAUAUUAAAAUAAACACAGAGGAUUCAGAAAGUUGUCACAAAAAAAUGUAGUGCAAAUGUCCCAAUCUUUGCAUGGAUUAAAACAUACCAUGCUGCUUCUCCCAGUUUUGCAGUCUGUGGUAAUUGCACAGCCACCACAGAGUUGAAAUAUAGUCAGAAAACAUGGUUAAAAAUUUUACCAAGUAAAAUUCCCCCCUCUCAAUUUUUACCAUUUUAAUUAGGAGCAUCAGAUUAGAAUCCCAGAUUAGAAUCCCAGAGCAAGAGCAGGAAAAAAAAUGUAUGUGUGUGUGGAUAUACAUGUACAUAUAUAUGUAUGUAUGUAUAUCCACACACACACAUACAUAUCCACACACAUUUCAAAAAUUUAUAUAUAUAUGUGUAUACACACAUACAUUUGUAUAUAUACACACAUACAUACACUUUUUACUGUAUAAAGACCAAGUUGCGCUUGAUAGAAAUGUCUCAUCUUUAAACAUCACACAAAAAAGAAUGAAAAUAGGACCUGGUCCGGUGGUGUAGUGGUCAGUUUGCCUGCUCUGCUUUGGUGGCCAGGGUUCGCCAGUUUGCAUCCUGGCCACAGACCUAUGCUCUGCUUAUCAAGCAAUGCUGUGGCAGGCAUUCCAAAUAUAAAAUAGAGGACGAUGGGCGUAGAUGUUAGGUCAGGGCCAAUCUUCCUCAGCAAAAAGAGGAUCAGUGGAGGAUGUUAGCUCAGGGCUAAUCUUCCCCCCAAAAUAAAUGAACCGAGUAUAAUAUCAAGAACUUAGAAUGCAAACAAAAAUAACAACAGGGGCCAGCAUGGUGGUGUAGUGGAUAAGUUCAUGUGCUCCACUUUGGUGGCCCAGGGUUCAUGGG